rnacentral:tRNA from 1 species
GCCCCAGUAGCUCAGAUGGAUAGAGCAGAGGUUUCCUAAACCUCGUGUCGGAGGUUCGAAUCCUCCUUGGGGCA